rnacentral:rRNA from 1 species
UGACGAUGAAGAACGUAAAUGUCUGCGAUACGCACCGAGAUUUUUAGAAAUGAACGGUGAUUUUCGAAUAUGAUUACCCCUUGGACUUAAGCAUAUCAUUAGAGGGAGGAAAAGAAACUAACAAGGAUUUUCUUAGUAGUGGCGAAUGAACAGAAAUAAGCCCUUAUGGUAAACUUA